CCCGUUAUUUACGCGUCCGCCUGCCCAGUGGCCCAGCUAAACGGCCGCGGUAUCUUGACCGUGCAAAGGUAGCAUAAUCACUUGUCUUUUAAAUGGAGACUUGUAUGAACGGCGAAACCUUUUUCAACUGUCUCCCUUUCCACCCUUACAAAUUUCCUUCUGUGUGAAGAGGCACAGAUACCUCAGAAAGACGAGAAGACCCUGUCGAGCUUUAGCUGCUAAAUGAACUUUCACCCACUAGUCAUCAUCUAAAAGCUUUGGUUGGGGCAACCACGGAGAAAAAAAAUCCUCCAGAACGAAUAGAAGAAAACCAUUCACUAUUAUUAAUAACUAUAGAACCAGAAACUGGUAUUCGGAAGAAGUUACCGCAGGGAUAACAGCGUCAUCUCCUCUAAGAGUCCUUAUUGACGAGGAGGUUUGCGACCUCGAUGUUGGAUUAAGGCCCCCCCUAGGGUGCAGAAGCUCUAAACGGUUAGACUGUUCGUCUAUUAAAGCCUUACGUGAUCUGAGUUCACACCGGAAGA
rnacentral:rRNA from 1 species